GACGAACGCUGGCGGUGUGCUUAACACAUGCAAGUCGAACGGCAAGGCAGUGAUAUUGUGCGGUGAUCGAGUGGCGAACGGGUGAGUAACACGAGAGUAUCCUGCUCUAGUCUUUCGGAUAACUUAAGGAAACUGGGGCUAAUACCGUACCGCAGCUCCUGUUGCAUGGUAGGGGUUGGAACUUUUCGCCGGUCGGGGAUGGAUUCGCGGCUUAUGAGCUAGUUGGUGGGGUAGUGGCAUACCCAGCCUUUGACGGGUAGCCGGCCUGAGAGGGUGACCGGCCACAAGGGGACUGAGAUAGGGCCCAGACGGCUACGUGAGGCAGAAGUGGGAAGUAUUGCACAGUGGGCGGAAGCCUGAUACAGCAGCGCCGCGGUCGGGAUGACGGCCUUCGGGGUGUAAACCGCUUUCGCCUGUGACGAAGCGUUAGUGACGGUAAUGAGUAAAGAAGCACCGGCUAACUACGUG
rnacentral:rRNA from 1 species